ACACCUCAACUCUCAUGGUUUUACCGUGAUGAGCUUGGACUUUGGGGGUCUUGCUGGCCAGUGGUCAGCUCCUCUCAAAUGAAUCAGCUUGCCAGUGUUUGGUGGCAUCACAGGUGUGAUAACUAUCUACGCUUGUGGUUUCCUGCCAGGUGCCCUUCAGUGAUGAAGGGUCGCUGGAGCUUAUAAAUGUCUCUCCCCCAGUGAGGACAACUUCUUGAAU
rnacentral:misc_RNA from 1 species